UUUCCGUAGGUGAACCUGCGGAAGGAUCAUUAAAGAGAUCAUGCCCUCACGGGUAGACCUCCCACCCUUUGUUUACAAUACCUUUGUUGCUUUGGCGGGCCUGUUUGGCCCCGCGCUGAACAACCGGCCCCGGCUGGUCAGUGCCCGCCAGAGAACCGAAAACUCUGAAUUAAAUGUCGUCUGAGUACUAUGUAAUAGUUAAAACUUUCAACAACGGAUCUCUUGGUUCUG
rnacentral:misc_RNA from 1 species